rnacentral:rRNA from 1 species
GCGGGGGGAGCAAGCGUUGUUCGGAUUUACUGGGCGUAAAGGGCGCGUAGGCGGCCCGGUAAGUCAAAGGUGAAAUCCCUCGGCUCAACUGAGGAACUGCCUUUGAAACUGUCGGGCUCGAGGCCGGGAGGGGGUAGCGGAAUUCCCAGUGUAGCGGUGAAAUGCGUAGAUAUUGGGAGGAACACCGGUGGCGAAGGCGGCUACCUGGACCGGUUCUGACGCUGAUGCGCGAAAGCGUGGGUAGCAAACAGGA